AAGUCGUAACAAGGUAUCCGUAGGUGAACCUGCGGAUGGAUCAUUAACACUAUCUUAAAAACCACUUGUAAGUGGAGUUUCAAUUUUUUUUUUUUGAGACGAAACUUGCAUUUUAUAACCCAAACUAGCGAACUUGUCAACGUGAAGGGGUUGUGUGUGUAAGGAGGAGUCUCUCUUCCUUUCUGCUCUCCCUUUUGCGUUCGUUUUCUCUAUAUCACUUUUGUAUUCACCCUUUUAACAACAAAUCUCAUCUGAUUUGUCUCAUCAAAUAACUUGACUAAGAACAACUUUUUUCUUUUUUUGCUUGAUUGCUCUAAAGAAAAAAAACUAAAUACAAAACAAAAAAAUACAACUCUUAACAACGGAUAUCUUGGCUCUC
rnacentral:misc_RNA from 1 species